rnacentral:misc_RNA from 1 species
GGCCACUAGAAGCCAAUCUAGCAUCUGUUAAUUUAUGCGUAAUAGAAUCAGUGGUUGCAGAUUGAAUAAUCACAAUUUCUUGUCCGUACAAAUCAGAUGAUCUUGAAACAUCACCUGCAGGGAAAGAUGCAGGUGGGAUGCUGGAUUUAAACACUUGAUGAACAUGAGAAGAGACUCCAGAGUCAUUCCUAGCACUGGAAUCCGC